rnacentral:rRNA from 1 species
UACGUAGGGUGCAAGCGUUAAUCGGAAUUACUGGGCGUAAAGCGUGCGCAGGCGGCUUUGCAAGACAGAUGUGAAAUCCCCGGGCUUAACCUGGGAACUGGAUUUGUGGCUGCAUGGCUGGAGUGCGGCAGAGGGGGAUGGAAUUCCGCGUGUAGCAGUGAAAUGCGUAGAUAUGCGGAGGAACACCGAUGGCGAAGGCAAUCCCCUGGGCCUGCACUGACGCUCAUGCACGAAAGCGUGGGGAGCAAACAGG